UACAGAGGGGGCAAGCGUUGUUCGGAAUUACUGGGCGUAAAGGGCGCGUAGGCGGCCUGCUAAGUCGAACGUGAAAUCCCCGGGCUCAACCCGGGAACUGCGUUCGAUACUGGUUGGCUUGAAUCCGGGAGAGGGAUGCGGAAUUCCAGGUGUAGCGGUGAAAUGCGUAGAUAUCUGGAGGAACACCGGUGGCGAAGGCGGCAUCCUGGACCGGCAUUGACGCUGAGGCGCGCAAGCCAGGGGAGCACACGGGCGGCGAUACCCCAGUAGUCC
rnacentral:rRNA from 1 species